GACAGGAUUUUUUUUUUUUUUUGCUCAUCGACCCUUUGCCGCUGCGAUAUUUUGCGGCGGAAGUUCUACUUACGCCACUGGACUAUAGUCACGUAACGGUCGCGAUGUCUGUCGGUGCAGGCUCUCGAUAAAAUCACCGUGCGGAUACUUAUUGUCACGUCGUUACCCAGUCGAAUAACGAAAUACGUCAUCAGUCAGUUAUCGUUCCGCGUGAAAAACGAUAAUUUGACGGGUCGUUCGGUUUUUAAAUCGGUAUA